UCCUGUUGUAGGGUCUUUUGAUAGUCUUUUCUUCUACAUAUCUCUUUUCCUUUUGUAGUGAACACCAGGUUCACUUUGCUUUCUCUGUUGCAGGGUCUUUUGAUAGAGUCUUUUCUUCUGCAUAUCUCUUUUCCUUUUCCAGUGAACACCAGGUUCACUUUGUUUUGCUUUUGUGUUGCACUUUUAUCUAAUUGUUGGUGUUCACUUGCCAAUUCAGGUACCCCCCUUCUUUCUUCUUCCAUCAGCGUUCCUAACCAACUCCACUUGUUACCUGUAUCUUUUACUUUUGGAUUGUUAUUACUUUUGAUGAAGGAACCAUUUUGGUAAAGAUUGGUCGAGCAGUACACAUUUUGAGGUUCAAUCUCCCUACUUUGCAGACUACCAUGUUUCUUUGAGAUGGUCCUAGAUUUAUUCCCCAAGAGCAACAUAACAGUAAUUUUUGGAGUCCUGAGGGAUGUUGGAGGAUGCACCGGAAGUCGCUACAUGUUCUGAUUACAAAUUUGAUCUUGCUAUACAGCUAGGUAAUCUGGAGAUUGCCGAGGAUAUUGCUACUAAAGCGCACAGUGAAUCCAAAUGGAAGCAGCUGGGAGAAUUAGCUAUGUCCUCUGGGAAGUUAGAACUUACUGAAGAUUACAUAUUACACGGGAUGGACUUUUCUGACUUGUUACUUCUGUAUUCUUCUCUGGGAGAUGCUCAAGGAAUGUCAAAGCUUGAAGAGCAGGGAAAGAAUAAUGUUGCAUUCCUUGGGUUGUUCAUGCUGGGUAACUUGGAAGAACGCAUCCAGCUGUUGCUAGAUAGUGAGCGAAUACUUGAAGCAGCUUUGAUGGCACGAUCUUACGUACCCAGCAUGGUGUCAGAGAUAGUUCAAUUUGGAGAAAUGACCUGGACAAUGUCUAACUUCCAGUCCUUUUUUUUUUUUUUCUUCACUUUAUGGGUACCUUUUGCCCGUGCUGCUUCAGUAUGACUCUACUGCACAGGAAUCUGAUACAACAGAAUCACAUACUACAGAAGAAUCUGAUAUAACAGAAUCACAUGCCCGUGCUGUUUUUUGUUUAGAUGUUCAUCCUCUUUCAAAUUUGCUCUUUAUCAUUACUUUGUUUACAAGUAUCAAUGUUGCUGACCCAAUUACUCGAACAAAAACUGACUUAAGCAUCGGAGUUUUUUUUGCAGGUACCCCCCUCCUCCCCUUUCAUCAACGUUCCUAACCAACUCCACUUGUUAUCUUUAUCUUUUACUUUUGGACUGUUAUUGCUUAUGACGAAGGAACCAUUUUGGUAAAGAUUGGUUAACAAGUACCAGUUGCUAGCAUGGAUAGUAGUGGGAAACUAAACUGGGCCAAGCAUAAUGAAAUCCAAACUGUGAAUAUCAAAAGUGUGGGAUCACAUUUUGAGAUGGAGAAAGAUUACCAUUGGCCGUGAAGGAGUUAGGAAACUGUGAUCUUUAUCCUCAAGCAUCUAUGUUUGAUGAAUCUUUAAUCCAGUUGAUAAUGAUGCCACUGUAGUUGUGCCAUGCCACCUACUAGCCUUCUUGACGUGUUUUGCUUGCAUUUCUGCCAUGUUAAUCUUGUUAUUAGUAAACAGAAAAUUCCUCUUUGCAUGAUGGUACACGGGACACCAGCUCUAGUAUGGACUAUUACCCAUAAUGCAUUACUAUUUGACUUCAAUAUUCUUUGACAUGAGAGAUUUAGAUUAGAGUCAGGAAGAGGCAUAACUAGGAAAUAAUCUUCUUACCCCCCCCCCCAACCAACACCAAAAAAAUAAACACUCCCUCUCAGUUUGGCUCUAACUCAUGUGGCUAUGGGUCCAGUUGCAUUGACACCCUUAUAUUAAUUCAAUUUGAAACCGUAUUCCAAUUGAUUAUGUUGUGAUUACUUAACGAGGCAUAAUUGCAUGGUUCUCUUUACUAGCAAAUAUAAAGGUAGAUCUUUGAAGCUAUACUAUAUGUUUAUCAAUUUAAGAAGUUACUAUCUGUAAGAAAUUUUGAUCUGCUCAUAACCACUGCAUUUCAGAUUUUCAGCAGAAAAUGUACGUUAGAUGUGUGUUGUUAAGUUUUCUAUUGUAUCUGAUUCCAGAAUUUGAAGCACAACACCCCAAUGGAAGGUUUGUUGUUGUUUGUGGAGAUGGAGAGUACAUAAUAUACGUGGCUCUAGCAUGGAGAAAUAGAACCUUUGGCUCGGAAUUGGAGUUUGUCUGGUCAUCAGACAGAGAAUAUGCUGUUAGGGAAGCGACAUCAAAGAUCAAAGUUUUCAGCAAAAUGUUCUAGGAAAAGAAGAAUAUUUGACCAACAUGUUCUGUUGAACACAUUUAUGGAGGGACACUAUUGGCAAUGUGUUCAAAUGACUUUGUAUGCUUCUAUGACUGGGCAGAAUGCAGAUUGUUUAGACGAAUUGAUGUGAAUGUUAAGAAUGUUUAUUGGGCUGAUAGCGGUGAUUUGGUGGCAAUUUCUAGUGAUUCAUCAUUCUACAUUUGAAAAUACGAUGGAUGUAGUCUCUUCUUAUUUGGACAGUGGAAGGGCAGUCGACGAACUAGGUGUUGAGGAUGUUUUUGAGCUCCUCUUGGAGAGAAAUGAGCGUGUCCAAACUGGAUUAUGGGUUGGCGACUGUUUUGUUUAUAUUAGGAACUGAUUGUACAAGCUGGAAAUGUCAUAUACCUCACUUCCAACACAGGGCUAUACCAACACAAGCUGGAGAUUUAGCUCUUGCAUAAAUAUGAGGAGGGUAUGACAGAUUCUUGAUCGGGGGGGGGGGGGGGGGGGUCAUGAGUUACAAUCAGACAACUGAUUUAAACAGAUUCUUGAACUGAAGAUUAGGAAAGCCGAUUCUCAUUCUUGACUCAAGUUUUGAGUGCAAGAUCAGAGAAAAUCUUGUGACAGGGUUCUUUACGCAAAUUAAUACUCUAGAGACAAUUAAAAUAGCAAAGAAACAGAACUUGCAAAUCUGCAACUUUACCUUGCCUAGGCCUUUUCUUUUUUCUUUUAUUUUCCUCUCGUUUGGGAAACUAUUAAGGCAUUGUUAAGAGAUCAUUUUAAUUACUUGCUGGUUCCUUAAUCUGAAUUCUCAUUAAUUAAGAGA